UACGAAGGGGGCAAGCGUUGUUCGGAAUUACUGGGCGUAAAGGGCGCGCAGGCGGCCUUAGUAGUCAGGCGUGAAAGCCCCGGGCUUAACCUGGGAAUUGCGCUUGAUACUCUGAGGCUUGAGUUCGGGAGAGGUGAGUGGAAUUCCCAGUGUAGAGGUGAAAUUCGUAGAUAUUGGGAAGAACACCGGUGGCGAAGGCGGCUCACUGGACCGAUACUGACGCUGAGGCGCGAAAGCGUGGGGAGCAAACAGG
rnacentral:rRNA from 1 species